UAGAGCUGUCCUGAGUCAAACUAUUUUAAGUUUGACCAACUUUAUAGAAAAGAACACUAACAUGUAUGACAUCAAACAAGUAUAUUAUGAAAAUAUAUUUCAUGAUGUAUCUAAUAAUACAAAUUUGGUGCCAUAAACACUAGUGCUCCUUUUAAUAAAUUCACUCAAACCUAAUGUUUGACUUAGGACAACUUUAG
rnacentral:pre_miRNA from 1 species